rnacentral:misc_RNA from 1 species
AGCGGCGGAUGUGCGAGCGGG